AUUGAACGCUGGCGGCAUGCCUAACACAUGCAAGUCGAACGGCAGCACAGUGUGUAGCAAUACACAUGGGUGGCGAGUGGCGGACGGGUGAGCAAUACAUGGGAACCUGCCCAAUAGUGGGGGAUAGCUCGGCGAAAGCCGGAUUAAUACCGCAUACGUCCUACGGGAGAAAGCGGGGGAUCGUAAGACCUCGCGCUACUGGAAGGGCCCAUGUCCGAUUAGCUAGUUGGUAGGGUAACGGCCUACCAAGGCGACGAUCGGUAGCUGGUCUGAGAGGACGAUCAGCCACACUGGGACUGAGACACGGCCCAGACUCCUACGGGAGGCAGCAGUGGGGAAUAUUGGACAAUGGGGGAAACCCGUGAUCCAGCAAUGCCGCGUGUGUGAAGAAGGCCUGCGGGUUGUAAGCACUUUUAGUGGAGAUGAAAUGUUCAGCGCUAACAUCGCUGAGCUUUGACCUAACCCACAGAAAAAGCACCGGCUAACUCCG
rnacentral:rRNA from 1 species